AGUUACAGCAGGAGAAGAAGUACAUGAUGGCAGUGAUCGUUGGCACCAUCGGUGGAGUGGCUGUCAUCGCCUUCAUCAUCGCAGCAGUGAGAUAUGUGGGCCAUAACAACAAGAAAGAGAAUGGCAACCCUGGGCAGGACCUGGUCUCUAAACUGGAGAACCCAGCGCUGUACUACAG